rnacentral:rRNA from 1 species
AGUGAACGCUGGCGGUAGGCCUAACACAUGCAAGUCGAACGGCAGCACAGUAAGAGCUUGCUCUUACGGGUGGCGAGUGGCGGACGGGUGAGGAAUACAUCGGAAUCUACUUUUUCGUGGGGGAUAACGUAGGGAAACUUACGCUAAUACCGCAUACGACCUACGGGUGAAAGCAGGGGAUCUUCGGACCUUGCGCGAUUGAAUGAGCCGAUGUCGGAUUAGCUGGUUGGCGGGGUAAAGGCCCACCAAGGCGACGAUCCGUAGCUGGUCUGAGAGGAUGAUCAGCCACACUGGGACUGAGACACGGUCCAGACUCCUACGGGAGGCAGCAGUGGGGAAUAUUGGACAAUGGGCGCAAGCCUGAUCCAGCCAUACCGCGUGGGUGAAGAAGGCCUUCGGGUUGUAAAGCCCUUUUGUUGGGAAAGAAAAGCAGCAGGUUAAUACCCCGCUGUUCUGACGGUACCCAAAGAAUAAGCACCGGCUAACUUCGUG